rnacentral:rRNA from 1 species
UACGUAGGCAGCGAGCGUUGUUCGGAGUUACUGGGCGUAAAGGGUGCGUAGGCGGGUCUUUAAGUCAGGGGUGAAAUCCUGGAGCUCAACUCCAGAACUGCCUUUGAUACUGAGGAUCUUGAGUUCGGGAGAGGUGAGUGGAACUGCGAGUGUAGAGGUGAAAUUCGUAGAUAUUCGGAGGAACACCAGUGGCGAAGGCGGCUCACUGGCUCGGUACUGACGCUGAGGUGCGAAAGCGUGGGGAGCAAACAGG